rnacentral:rRNA from 1 species
UAGCCGACCUGAGAGGGUGAUCGGCCACAUUGGGACUGAGACACGGCCCAAACUCCUACGGGAGGCAGCAGUAGGGAAUCUUCGGCAAUGGACGAAAGUCUGACCGAGCAACGCCGCGUGAGUGAAGAAGGUUUUCGGAUCGUAAAACUCUGUUGUUAGAGAAGAACAAGGAUGAGAGUAACUGUUCAUCCCUUGACGGUAUCUAACCAGAAAGCCACGGCUAACUACGUGCCAGCAGCCGCGGUAAUACGUAGGUGGCAAGCGUUGUCCGGAUUUAUUGGGCGUAAAGCGAGCGCAGGCGGUUUCUUAAGUCUGAUGUGAAAGCCCCCGGCUCAACCGGGGAGGGUCAUUGGAAACUGGGAGACUUGAGUGCAGAAGAGGAGAGUGGAAUUCCAUGUGU